UCCUGACCCAGGGAUCAAACCCACGUCUCCUGCAUUUGCAGGUGGAUUCUUCACCUCUGAGUCACCAGGGAAGUCCAAAAUCAACUAUACUCCAAUUUAAAAAAAAUUAAAAAAGAAAGAAAAGUAGGUGGAAAGUGAAUUUGGCAAAUCUGUACCAGGACCGGCUCAUCUCCAUCCCAGGGAAUAAGGACCCUGAGCCAUCUCAGGCUGCUCUCCUUCCCCUGUUCUCCUUGUGCUCAGCCUCUUGUUGCUGCUGUGGACCCCCCUCAUUCAUUCGCUCAUUCAUUCCCUCAGCCCACCCGCCCGGAGCGAUGGCUCAGCCAGCUUCCACUGGCCACAGACGCACCAGCCUCCCUCUCUUCUCCUCUGGUCCCAGGUUCUUGUCUCUGACGGUCUAGGAGCUACCAGUGGAAGAUGCUCCACUUUUAGCCCAAGCUUCCUUCAAAUGAGAGAAGAGUAAGAGCUAUAAGCUUUGAAAUAAGGUCCCAGCGAGCGGAUCGUUCCAAAUCAUAAGUUAAUCCAUCAGCAUGACAAAAAAUGGGACGUGACGGACUGUGUUCAAUUUAAAAGUUAAACUCAGAAUGAAUUUUAGGACCAGAAAACCAAGGGGGUUGAGAAUCCUGAGUGCGUGUUUGGGGGCCAGUGGGAGUGAGUUUUGCUUUGAGGGGUGUUUCUAUGCAUUUGUGUGUGUGUCAAUAAAACGAUACUAGUCAAAAGUCAGUAAUAUCUGCAUUUAAGGAGAAUAUUAGUAUUUCUUUCUGGAAUGCAGAUGCACAUGUAUUUAGAAUUAAAUUUUAUCUGGAUGUGUGUAUUAUCUUAUUGCCUUAGAAGCUGACCUGUUGCCUGGUCCCUAAGACAGCCUUCUUGUGUCCAUUACACCAUAAAACCAACCACAUGGCCCCUGCCACCACCUGGUUCGGGAUGCCUUCUCUAUCCAAGCCCAUUUACUCUGCUUCUCUGAAGCAUCCAGGAUCCAUCGGUAUUCUCUUUUCCUUGUCACGGCUCAGAGAUUAUCUUUGCUUCUUUGCCAGCUUUCCUGAGGAAGGGGUCUAACCUCCUGGUUCUGGGAGACUGGUCCCACUCCUGUCCAUAACGUCCAUGGUCCAUGACACAGCCUCCUUCCAUCCUGGGAGCCGAGCAUCCGGCCACCUGGACCGCGGUCCCUCCCAGCUCUCUCCUGAUUUGCACUGCGGCCGGCACCAGCCUGGUAUUCCUGGAGCUCUCCAAGGAGCAGGAGCUGGAUGAUUUAAAGGAGGAACUUGACCCUCAGUGAGGCAGAAGUUCCUCCCACAGAAAGAGCCUUGAAGCCCCAAACCCCCCAUCUUCCCCUUUGAGCCUGUGGUUGUUUUCUAAGACAUUCAUUUUUAUAGCAUCAAUGUCAUAUUUGUAGAGACCAUAGUGUAAGCAUUGAUAUGGUUCUCUGUGGGUGGAGAGGAGGUGCGAGUGCUGGAUCAGUGCAGUGAUAAUGUGGGCAGAGGCAUGUGGCUGAGCCCAGCCUGCGGGAAUGUCUUAGUGUCUCUACAGGUUACCCUGAUUCCAUUUCUCUGUAUAAAUGCUGAAUAAACAAGGAUACUUUUAUAAGAUUG